UAUUCUCUUAUUUCAAAAAAUAAUAUGUAAAAAAUUUGAUUUGAUAUUAUUUUGAAAAUAAGUGGGGUUAUAUGGUUACGAUAAAAUUAUGAUAAAAACUCUUUAGUUAGAUUAUGAUUUGGAUUUAGCCAACAGGACUGAUCGUUGGCUAUAUGUCAGAAAUAUAUUUCUUCCGAGCCUACAAAGUUGGGGUUGAUUGCUAACGGAGCUAAUUCUUUCAGACCUCAUCAGUUGGGGC
rnacentral:lncRNA from 1 species